rnacentral:rRNA from 1 species
AAAUAACUACGAGUAAAAACUUAAAAUUUAAAAGACUUGACGGUGCUUCACACCGACCUAGAGGAGCCUGUCCAAUAACCGAUAAUCCACGAUUAACCCAACCUUUUCUGGCCUAACAGUCUAUAUACCGCCGUCGCCAGCCUACCUUGUGAAAGAGACAAAGUAGACUAAACAGCAUUAUACUAACACGACAGGUCGAGGUGUAACUAAUGAAAAGGACCAAGAUGGGCUACAUUUCUUAAACCAAGAAAUAACGAACAGACUAUGAAACUAGAAACUGAAGGCGGAUUUAGCAGUAAGCUAAGAAUAAAAUACUUAACCGAAAUAUCAACGCAAUGAAGCGCGU